GCUCCCGCCCGCGGGGAGGGGUGCGGGCGGCCCUGCUGGAGACGUGCAGGAGCUGCAGCCCCCGGGAGAAAGCCUGCGGGGCAGAGCCUGCGGGCAAACCCUGCGGGGCCUCAGCGCUGAGCCCGGGGCCGCCGUCCUCCCUGCGCGCCCGUACUGCGUGCACGUACCCCCUGCGAGCGGGACCUGUGCCCCCCCCCGGCACCCCCGCCGCCCAGGACCCUUCGGAAUCAGGCGUAGCCGUUCGCCUCCCCUCGGAGUUGUGCUGGCCCCGGGGCUGGCCCUAAGCCGUCCGGGCGGAGCCGCUCCGCUGUGCGGCCGUGGACGGCUGCCGCGGGUGUGCGUGUCGUGACUGCGCGCGCACCCGUCUGCGGGGGCCCCGGUGUGCGGGCUCGAGCCCUCGGCGCCCAGAUUGCGGAGCCGCGGCUCGGGCCCGGGUUCCGGGCCAGGCUCGGCCGCCGCCGCCGCCAGACGCUGAACGUGGCGGGGAGGGCGGAGGUGCAGCCCCUGGAAGGCGAGUUGCGGGGAUAAGUAAAUGCGGGCGGCGGGCGGACGCCGGAGCUGGCUCUCGAGUGUGUCGCGGGCUCGGUGCCGGUCGGACGGCCUGUGCGCCUGCCCCGGGUGGACACGCGUCUCCGUGCACCUCCGCUCCUCCCGCCGCGCGACCGCCCCGGCCUUCCGAGCCCCUCGCGAGGAGCCCUGGAGCCGACACAUCCCUCCGGCCUGCUGCGGCCUCCGUGGGGCUCCUCGCUCCCCCCAUUCCCAGCCGAGCGGCUUUCAGGGCCGCCUCCGGUGGCCCCGGGCGGCCAGAGUCCGGGCCGCAGCGGGAAGGGGGAGACCCUGCCUGGUUGGGGCGGGGGGUCUAGGGAAGCAAGCGCGCGUUUGAGGGCGAGAGCUCUGGAGAGCGCGUGAACGGGGAGGGGUGAGUCCGUAAGCUGAGGGAGGAGAAAGGGGGGAAAUGGUUGAGGGGCCGGUCUGGCCAUUGACCCUGGGCCCCGGUGGACAGACCCUCCCAGGAGCAGGCAGGACGCUCCUCUCCUGCCUCCUCCCUCCCCGCGGGGAAGAUCACGUCCUUAUUUCCUUGCCUCGGAGGCCCCUCCAGACGUCUGGACCCCCUAACGGUGCCCAGAGUCACUUGUCCUUGAAGCCGUGCGCAGGUGUGCGAGGUCGCCCCUUACCCGGGCAGACACCCUUUGCAUACGCAGACCUGCGCGCCGCCGACACACCUCGGAGCUCCCGGAGCGCGCCUGGCUCUCAGGGCUCACGGGCAGGUGCCUCGCCGCGCAGACUCGCCGGGCGCGGGGACCGGCUCAGGCGCGGGGCCGGCUGGGGCGGGGCAGCGGCGCGCGUUCCCCGCCGGCCAUACCGGCCGCCUUGCGCCCGCCGAGGGGCGUGUGUGCUCGGGCCCGGAAUCCUUGGGCCCCAUGUUCACGGAGCUGAGGACCAAGCUGAGCCCCCCGCGAGGCCGCGCCGGGGCUGUGCGUGCCGGCUUCGGGGAGUGCCGGGAUGUGGACGGCACCCAUGCUCUGCAGCCGCUGCCCAUUUGAGCUUCUGCCGAACCCUCCUGGAACACACGGUAUCUGCUGAGAGCAUCCCCUGCCACCUGCCUCGGACGCCAGGCACCAGCCUCACGUGGCAUGAUUCCCGUAGCCAGAGGGCCGCCGGUGGCCGGCCAGUCAAGCUCCUGCAGCAGCCGGGCGCGGAAGCCCCCCAGGCCCGGCUGUACUCCGACCACUACGGCCUGUACCACACAAGCCCCUCCCUGGGUGGCCUGACAAGGCCUGUGGUCCUGUGGAGUCAGCAGGACGUGUGCAAGUGGCUCAAGAAGCACUGUCCCCACAACUACCUCGUCUAUGUGGAGGCCUUCUCCCAGCAUGCCAUCACAGGCCGGGCACUGCUGCGGCUGAACGGGGAGAAGCUGCAGCGGAUGGGGCUGGCGCAGGAGGCCCAGCGGCAAGAGGUGCUGCAGCAGCUGCUGCGUCUGCAGCCUCCUUCGGAAACACGUCCUAGCCGCUGCCUGAGGCUCGAACCCCAGACCCCAGCACUGUGACCAGAGCCUGUGGCAAGGGCGAUGCAGAGCUGGCCCACAGCCCCUCUCGGACCCCGCCAGAGGCGCCAGGGGCUGAGCCCAGCCCAGUGGACAGGACCAGGUGGGGAGGAGAGGCAGAGGCUGGAACCCUGGGCUCGGCCUUGCGGACUGCACCUUGCGGACUGCACCCAGACGCACGGACACAGGUGCGUUACUUUCCCGAGGCCGCCAGAACAAAGGACCACAACCGGGAAGCUUCUCACAGCGGAAACGGAUUCUGUUCCGGCCACGCAGGCCACUGGUCUGAAACCCACCAGGGUCACACUGCCUCCUGGAGCACAGGGUGGAGCCUUCCUCACCUCUCCCAGCUUCUGGCGGCUGCCCCAGGGAUUCCUGGGCUCUGGCGUGUCACUGCAGCCCAGCCUCUGUGCUCACGUCCCCUUCUGCCUCUGUCAAAUCUCCCUCCCCCGGGGAGACCUGUCACGGGAUUUAAGGCCCACCUGGACAAUCCAGGACGGUCUUCUCACCUCAAGACCCUUCCCUUCAGCAGAUCUGCAAAGACCUGCUUUUCCAAAUAAGGUCAUAUUCAUGGGUUCCAGGGAUGUGACAUGGCAACCUUCCAGGGUCCCCAUUAAGCGCCCUGCACAGGGUAACGCUCUGACAUAAGAAACAGGUCCCAACACCCCCGACACAGGUAUCCGCACAGCAACCAGACACGCGGUAACAGAGAGGCAUACACUGACCCCUGGAGUCUGGACACAGAAACACAGGGACGCCGGUGUCCAGAACCACAGGACGCCCUGAUGCAGUGACCCCCUAACGUACAAAACACACUCGGAGCACAGCACACAGUGCCCUACAUCCAGACACGCUGUGGCCUAGACACACCUGCUAAGACACAGGAGUCCCCCCCGCCCCCGCACAUGUCUUGCGUCUGGUCAUCCAGAUACUAACAUACUAACAGGCGUCCUUCUCUCCUAGUGCAGGACACACAGACAUACCCUGACAUCAGGUGUCCACACAGGACACAGCCCAGCACAUGUGGUCACUCAGACACACACCUACUACUGGGCAUGGUUACACACGUGGCUGUGCAGACUUACUCGGGGAAAGGUGACAAGAAAGCUAUCUGCAUCUCCUGCGUGAACUGACCCCUCCCCAAAUCCUGCAUGUCCUGCCCCCAGUGUGGGCAUGCUCAGUAAGGGAAGGACGGCCCUCCCUCUUCCUCCUGGGGUCACAUGGGCCUUUCUCUGGUUCUGAUUUUCCAGGAAGGUCCAACCUCCUGAGUCCUCCACAGAGGGCCCCCACCCCUCUCUCCUGGAGCACUCUGUGCUGGCCACUAGGGAAGCAAGAGUCCUGUGAGGAGAGGCAGAGCCUAAUCUGACCUUUUGUGCUCUGCCCCCUAGCAAUGCACCCAACCUGUUCCAGGGCAGACAGGGGUGAAGUGGGGAUUGGAAUAGGGGGUGGGAGACACUUGGAGAAGGCAGUGCACACUGUAACCAUGUCCCACCUAGUACCUCUUCCCCUGCUCCGUUUUUUUCCAACUCCUGGUAGGGUUGGGGCCCCAUUUCCCCCAGACCCGAUACCGGGGUGCCCUCCCAGGCCUGGGUUCUGGGGCCCUGCGGAGCAAAGCACAACUGAUCUAGGCUCACCGCCACCGGAAGCACACGGAGGCUGCUCCAAUGGUCAGUAGCCCCAAUAGGGUCCAUGGCCUCAAACUGCCUAGCACUGCUAGGAACCGGGCGGUGCCCUGACUGUGGCCACAGACAGAGGUGGUCACGGGGCUCGCUGGAAGACCCCCCAGAUCCUGCUCUGCAGUCGCAGGGCUCCCAAGGGCCAGGGGUUCGGCUCCCAGAGGACGGUGGUCUCCAUGGCUGCAGCUUCCCAGAGCCAGCACCUAGAGGCAUCUGCUCGCUUCAGUCCGGGUACACUGGGCUUUGGGCAGUUCCCAACACCCCUGUAGUGCCUCAGUUUACCCCACUGUCUGAAAACCGUCCCCUGCCCUACGGGGCGGCAUAACUGGCCACUUGGCACUGGAGCCGCAGC